GACAGAGGGUGCAAACGUUGUUCGGAAUUACUGGGCGUAAAGGGCGCGUAGGCGGCGCACCAAGUCAGGCGUGAAAGCCCUGGGCUUAACCCAGGAAUUGCGUUUGAGACUGGCGUGCUGGAGUGCAGGAGAGGUCGGCGGAAUUCCCAGUGUAGAGGUGAAAUUCGUAGAGAUUGGGAAGAACACCGGUGGCGCAGGCGGCCGACUGGACUGUAACUGACGCUGAGGCGCGAAAGCGUGGGGAGCAAACAGG
rnacentral:rRNA from 1 species